AAAAGAAAACAUUAUCCAAUCGCGUCUUAUCUUUAUUUGUGUUCGAGUGUAGUUAUUGCACCCGUAAACACAACAGUUGGCGACGAGGAUUUUUCGGAUAUUGCCCUGAAGUUUCUCCUAGUUUUUUUUGUGGAUGGACGUUUUCUUUCCUGGGAGACGAAUGCACAGGACGAAGACGUGCGAUGGCUCCGGCUCCGAGGGGGAAGCGCAAUACUGAGUGAAUACAGACCUACACUGUCCUUGAGAAACCUACAAUACAGGCUGGUGAAACCAGGAAAGACGCAAUAUUCACUGUUCAGGCAAUAUUGAGAAAGGUUUGGAGCAAAGGACAUUAGCACAGACCAAGGGCAGCCAGCAUAACCCCGAAAGGAACUCCAGAAUGUUGUGCUGGGAAUGGGGCAGGUCGGCUGGAGCUCCUCUUCUGGGGGAAAGAGGGCAUCCAGU
rnacentral:lncRNA from 1 species